rnacentral:rRNA from 1 species
AUACGUAGGGUGCAAGCGUUAAUCGGAAUUACUGGGCGUAAAGCGUGCGCAGGCGGUUUUGUAAGACAGUGGUGAAAUCCCCGGGCUCAACCUGGGAACUGCCAUUGUGACUGCAAGGCUGGAGUGCGGCAGAGGGGGAUGGAAUUCCGCGUGUAGCAGUGAAAUGCGUAGAUAUGCGGAGGAACACCGAUGGCGAAGGCAAUCCCCUGGGCCUGCACUGACGCUCAUGCACGAAAGCGUGGGGAGCAAACAGGAUUAGAUACCCUGGUAGUCCACGCCCUAAACGAUGUCAACUGGUUGUUGGGGAUUUACUUUCUCAGUAACGAAGCUAACGCGUGAAGUUGACCGCCUGGGGAGUACGGCCGCAAGGUUAAAACUCAAAUGAAUUGACGGGG